GAUGAAGAUACCAAGGGCGCACGGCGGAUGCCUUGGCACAGGAAGUCGAAGAAGGACGCGGCAAGCUGCGAUAAGCCUCGGGGAGGAGCACACAUCCCUUGAUCCGAGGAUCUCCGAAUGGGGGAACCCGCCCGGGGUCAUGCCCGGGCACCCCGCCCUGAAUCAAAUAGGGGCGGGGGGACAACCCGGGGAACUGAAACAUCUAAGUACCCGGAGGAAGAGAAAUCAACCGAGAUCGCGCGAGUAGCGGCGAGCGAAAGCGCGCGAGCCCAAACCCGGGCGCGUGUAAGCGGCAGGCGUUGCCGCCCGGGGGUCGUGGGAGCCUCAUCCCAGGCGCUGCCCGCCUGGGCGGGGUCACAAAGGAGCUGGGUAGCGGAACGGCAUGGAAGGGCCGGCCGCAGCGGGUAAGAGCCCCGUACGCGAAACCCAGCUCCCCCCGUGGGGAUUUCCCGAGUAGGGCCGGACACGUGAAACCCGGUCCGAAGCCGGGGGGACCACCCUCCAAGGCUAAACACUCUCCUGUGACCGAUAGCGCACCAGUACCGUGAGGGAAAGGUGAAAAGCACCCCGAGAGGGGAGUGAAACAGUACCUGAAACCGUGCGCCUACAAGCAGUCGGAGCAGCCUUGCGCUGUGACGGCGUGCCUUUUGUAGAAUGAGCCAGCGAGUUGCGGUAUGCGGCGAGGUUAAGUUAUGAAACGAGCCGCAGCGAAAGCGAGCCUUUAAGAUGGCGAUUCAGUCGCAUGCUGCAGACGCGAAGCCGGGUGAGCUAUCCAUGGGCAGGCUGAAGCGGGGGUAAGACCCCGUGGAGGGCCGAACCCACUUCGGUUGAAAACGGAGGGGAUGACCUGUGGAUAGGGGUGAAAGGCCAAUCAAACCCGGAGAUAUCUCGUUCUCCCCGAAAUAGCUUUAGGGCUAGCCUCGGCCGUUCUCCCAUGGUGGUAGAGCCACCGGAUCCCUGAGGGGGCUUCACCGCCUACCGACGGGAACCGAACUCCGAAUGCCAUGGGAUCACAGGCCGGGAGUCAGAGCAUGUGGGCUAAGCUGUGUGCUCGAGAGGGAAACAGCCCAGACCGCCCGCUAAGGCCCCCAAGUCAUCGCUGAGUGGCAAAGGAUGUGCGUCUGCCCAGACAACCAGGAUGUUGGCUUAGAAGCAGCCAUGCAUUUAAAGAGUGCGUAACAGCUCACUGGUCGAGUGGACAUGCGCCGACAAUUCACGGGGCUAAGCGAUGCGCCGAAGCGGCGGAAUGAUUCAUUUCAUUGGUAGGGGAGCUUUCCGUCACCGGAGAAGCCGCGGGGCGACCCGCGGUGGAGGGGACGGAAGUGAGAAUGCUGGCAUGAGUAACGAGAGCUGGGCGAGAAACCCAGCCGCCGUAAGCCUAAGGGUUCCUGGGCAAGGCUAAUCCUCCCAGGGUCAGUCGGGAGCUAAGGCGAGGCCGGAAGGCGUAGCCGAUGCGCAACGGGUGGACAUUCCCGUACCGCUGAUGGGCCGCUAUCUACCGAGGGGGCGACGGAGAAGGGUAGCCGGGCGGGGUUCUGGACGUCCCCGUGAAAGCAUGUAGGGCGAGGCGCGUGGAAACCAGCGCCUCACGUGAGCCUGAGACGCGAGACGAAGCCUCAUGGCGAAGCCGGCGAGCCCAUGCUUCCGAGAAAAACCUCUAGGGAGGACCAUCGGCGCCCGUACCAAAACCGACACAGGUGGGCGGGUAGAACAUACCGAGGCGAUCGGGAGAACCAUGGUUAAGGAACUCGGCAUACUGGCUCCGUAACUUCGGGAGAAGGAGCGCCCCUGCGGGUGAAGGACCUCGCGUCCGGAGCGUGCGGGGGCCGCAGCGAAACGGCCCAAGCGACUGUUUAUCAAAAACACAGGACUCUGCAAAGUCGUAAGACGACGUAUAGGGUCUGACGCCUGCCCGGUGCCGGAAGGUUACGCGGAUGCGUUAGCACUCGUGCGAAGCGCUGAAGCCAAGCCCCGGUAAACGGCGGCCGUAACUAUAACGGUCCUAAGGUAGCGAAAUUCCUUGUCGGGUAAGUUCCGACCUGCACGAAUGGCGUAACGAUUUGGGCGCUGUCUCAACCAUGGACCCGGUGAAAUUGUACUGUUCGUGAAGAUGCGAACUACCCGCGGAAGGACGGAAAGACCCCGUGAACCUUUACUGCAGCUUGGCAUUGGCAGUUGGUACGACGUGUAGAGGAUAGGCGGGAGCCUGGGAAGCGGGAGCGCAAGCUUCCGCGGAGGCGCCCUUGGAAUACCGCCCUCGUCGUGCCGGCUGCCUAACGCGCGGCCGUGACCCGGCGCGCGGACCGUGCCAGGCGGGUAGUUUGACUGGGGCGGUCGCCUCCCAAAAAGUAACGGAGGCGCGCGUAAGGUCCGCUCAGGACGGUCGGCAACCGUCCGCAGAGCGCAAGAGUACAAGCGGGCUUGACUGCGAGGCCCACAAGCCGAGCAGAGACGAAAGUCGGUUCUAGUGAUCCGGCGGCUCAGAGUGGAAUGGCCGUCGCUCAACGGAUAAAAGGUACUCCGGGGAUAACAGGCUGAUCUUGCCCAAGAGUCCACAUCGACGGCAAGGUUUGGCACCUCGAUGUCGGCUCAUCGCAUCCUGGGGCUGAAGUCGGUCCCAAGGGUAUGGCUGUUCGCCAUUUAAAGCGGUACGCGAGCUGGGUUCAGAACGUCGUGAGACAGUUCGGUCCCUAUCCUCCGCGGGCGCAAGGGAAUUGAGGAGAUCUGCCCCUAGUACGAGAGGACCGGGGUGGACGGACCUCUGGUGACGCGGUUGUCGACCAACGGCACCGCCGCCUAGCUACGUCCGGCACGGAUAACCGCUGAAGGCAUCUAAGUGGGAAGCCGCCUCCGAGAUGAGUUCCCUUUCCGGUAAGGGCCCUCGUAGACCACGAGGUCGAUAGGGCGCAGCUGCAAGCAGGGCGACCUGCUCAGGCGAGCGCUACUAAUAGCCCGAGCUCUUCAUCUCAG
rnacentral:rRNA from 1 species